rnacentral:rRNA from 1 species
GACGUAGGGUGCGAGCGUUGUCCGGAUUUAUUGGGCGUAAAGAGCUCGUAGGCGGCUCGUCGCGUCGACCGUGAAAACCCACAGCUUAACUGUGGGCUUGCGGUUGAUACGGGCGGGCUAGAGUUCGGUAGGGGAGACUGGAAUUUACGGUGUAGCGGUGAAAUGCGUAGAUAUCGUAAGGAAGACCAGUGGCGAAGGCGGGUCUCUGGACAGUUCCUGACGCUGAGGCACGAAGGUCAGGGGAGCAAACGGG